rnacentral:sRNA from 1 species
UCAGGAAGAAACAUUCGAGUC